AUACGGAGGGGGCUAGCGUUGUUCGGAAUUAUUGGGCGUAAAGCGCGCGUAGGCGGAUUGAUCAGUCAGGGGUGAAAUCCCGAGGCUUAACCUCGGAACUGCCUUUGAUACUGUCAGUCUUGAGUUCGAGAGAGGUGAGUGGAAUUCCUAGUGUAGAGGUGAAAUUCGUAGAUAUUAGGAAGAACACCAGUGGCGAAGGCGGCUCACUGGCUCGAUACUGACGCUGAGGUGCGAAAGCGUGGGGAGCAAACAGGAUUAGAUACCCUAGUAGUCC
rnacentral:rRNA from 1 species